UACGUAGGCAGCGAGCGUUGUUCGGAGUUACUGGGCGUAAAGGGUGUGUAGGCGGUUCUUUAAGUUUGGUGUGAAAUCUCCCGGCUCAACCGGGAGGGUGCGCCGAAUACUGCGGGGCUAGAGUGCGGAAGGGGCAACUGGAAUUCUUGGUGUAGCGGUGAAAUGCGUAGAUAUCAAGAGGAACACCUGCGGCGAAGGCGGGUUGCUGGGCCGACACUGACGCUGAGGCGCGAAAGCUAGGGGAGCGAACGGG
rnacentral:rRNA from 1 species